rnacentral:rRNA from 1 species
AUACGGAGGGUGCAAGCGUUACUCGGAAUCACUGGGCGUAAAGCGCGCGCAGGCGGGCUGAUAAGUUGGAUGUGAAAGCCUACGGCUCAACCGUAGAACUGCAUCCAAAACUGUCAGUCUAGAGUCUGGGAGGGGAAGAUGGAAUUAGUUGUGUAGGGGUAAAAUCCGUAGAGAUAACUAGGAAUACCGAAAGCGAAGGCGAUCUUCUGGAACAGUACUGACGCUGAGGCGCGAAAGCGUGGGGAGCAAACAGGAUUAGAAACCCUAGUAGUCC